GACGAACGCUGGCGGCGUGCUUAACACAUGCAAGUCGAACGAUGAUGCCGGAGCUUGCUCUGGUGAAUUAGUGGCGAACGGGUGAGUAACACGUGAGUAACCUGUCCUUGACUCUGGGAUAACUGCGGGAAACUGUAGCUAAUACCGGAUACGACCCUCGGAGGCAUCUCCUGGGGGUGGAAAGAAUUUCGGUCAAGGAUGGACUCGCGGCCUAUCAGCUAGUUGGUGAGGUAACGGCUCACCAAGGCGACGACGGGUAGCCGGCCUGAGAGGGUGACCGGCCACACUGGGACUGAGACACGGCCCAGACUCCUACGGGAGGCAGCAGUGGGGAAUAUUGCGCAAUGGGCGAAAGCCUGACGCAGCAACGCCGCGUGAGGGAUGACGGCCUUCGGGUUGUAAACCUCUUUCAGCAGGGAAGAAGCGAAAGUGACGGUACCUGCAGAAGAAGCACCGGCUAACUACGUGCCAGCCGCCGCCGUAA
rnacentral:rRNA from 1 species